rnacentral:rRNA from 1 species
AAUGAACGCUGGCGGCAUGCCUAACACAUGCAAGUCGAACGAAGGCUUCGGCCUUAGUGGCGCACGGGUGCGUAACGCGUGGGAAUCUGCCCUCAGGUUCGGAAUAACAGCGAGAAAUUGCUGCUAAUACCGGAUGAUAUCGCGAGAUCAAAGAUUUAUCGCCUGAGGAUGAGCCCGCGUAGGAUUAGCUAGUUGGUGUGGUAAAGGCGCACCAAGGCGACGAUCCUUAGCUGGUCUGAGAGGAUGAUCAGCCACACUAGGACUGAGACACGGCCCAGACUCCUACGGGAGGCAGCAGUGGGGAAUAUUGGACAAUGGGCGAAAGCCUGAUCCAGCAAUGCCGCGUGAGUGAUGAAGGCCUUAGGGUUGUAAAGCUCUUUUACCCGGGAUGAUAAUGACAGUACCGGGAGAAUAAGCUCCGGCUAACUCCGUGCCAACAGCCGCCGCAG